rnacentral:lncRNA from 1 species
UCAUAUUUUGUUUUGAAGGGAUAUAUUGUCAUGUGGUUUUCGUCCUGUUAGAAAGACAGAAAACAAAAGUAAAUUAAAACGGCUAUAAAACAGUGUUUAGUUAUGCUAAUUAAGACGGAUGUGAUCAAGGUGGGAGUUUCUUAUAUAAAAUGCGGACGACAAGCGCAGUACCUUAUAAUACAGAAGCGGAAUCACAACCAUAAUCAACAUACAAGAAGAAAUGAAAAACAUAACUGUGUUAUACCUUAUAAUUUGCCUUUGCAUGGAACCAUCGUUUGCAGAUAAGAAGUUGUUCAGAGUUAAGCGGGUUACUUGUGGACGUAUUAUUGAAAAAUAUAUGGGGAAUGGAGCUUGUAACGCACACUGCCGAAGUAUUGACAAAGGUAGAGGGGAAUGUAGAGGUGGAACCUGCUAUUGUAAGCCAAACUCCCAGUUGCAAUGCACAGAUCCGACAUGUCAAUCAUACCAACAAUAUUGGCCUGUAAGAUAAUGCGUUAUCCGUCAAUCUGCUGUCUUUAUUGCUAAGGUGCCAUAGUGUCUCACAAGCUUACAGUAACUAAAUAGGCCUACCUGCAGACUGUGAAGUUCUAAAUAAUCAAAGCACUGAAAGUUCUGAGAGCAAGGUGCUUAUUGCAAAUCAUGGAUGUCAGUUAUACAUAUGUAUACGCUCAUUAAUACCAGUCUAUUAGGAACCAUCAUUAAAGUCAUACAUUCAAAAACCUU